CUCCGGUAUUUUUUUCCUCCCCCAUUCCCAUUCCUCCUCCCGCGCCCUCCCAUGACGGCGGCGCCGGCCCUCCGUUUAGGGGCUCGCAGUGCCUCCACGCCGCCAGCCACCGGAGAUCCCCUUCCUCCCACGCCAGCUCGCGUACCCAAAUCGCGACGCCGUCUCCUCCCACCGCGAAUCGGGGCGCCCCUCCUCUCUUCAAGGCUGCUGCCGCCCUCCACGCUGGCGGAGAGGAAGGCCGUCCCCCUCGCAUCACCUUCCCCCUACCCGACGCGGGCUCGCCGCGCCUCACUCCCCCACCUGAAGCUCGGACCCUUCGCGCCUCCCGUGCGCCACUCGACGCCGCCUCCGGCGCGAGACCCCACAGCCCGACGCUUCCGAGACCGCGGCGCCUCCAAGCUCCUCCACCGCACGACUUGAUCGGCAUCAAACCGUCAAGGACCUCUACAACGGCAUCCGCGAGGUACGUGUCCGCAAGAUGGGUGUGCGUAUUUGACACUGAUUCCGAUUUUCUGGUUUGCCCUCUAAUCUGUAUGGGAAUUCCUCAUUGCUCGAUCUGCAGCCUGUAUAGACAAGUUUUGUAUUUCAUAGUCAAGCUAAUUGCACGUUCUGAUGCUAAUUUACUUGAAUGGAGCAGAUAAUCUUGUCGUGAAAAAAUAGAACAGAUUUAGUUAGCUUAUGGUAUGGUAUGCAGUUGGAAAUUGAUUUGUUUAGAGUUAAGGUGCGAACAUGGUCCUUGUUCAUUUGUCUUAUUUAGAGCAGAUAAUCUUAUUUAGAGUUUAGAGAAGAUAAUCUUAUUUAUUGAGGGAUUAUACAGGCUUCCAAGUGAUAAAAACAGGCCUUGCUCCCUGUUUGGUUCCUGUUUUUGUUUUAUCACAAUUUGGGUAGUGGUGUGUGGGAGGAACAGCCUGCUUGAUCCAAGUGAUAAAAACAGCCUGCUUGAUCUGAUUGGUUCCUGUUUUUGUUUGAUCAGAAUCUGGGGCAAGAAUCAUAACUCACACUGGCGUUGAUAUUAUUUUAUUUGCAAUUUCAUUUAAUGAAUUGGCUGGACAGCAUGCAGAUCAAGAUGCUGCAAUGCAAGGGGGUAAAUGGCUGUGGACGAAAAGGAGGAUGGCAGAUCAUCCAAUCUUAUCGUUGACAACUGGCUCUAUCAGACCCCAGGUAUUUUGUCCUAGACAAGAUUUUACAACUGCGAGUGAUAGAACAUGAAAUUGCUAUGAUGAUAUGUCUGAACAUGGAAAUAGACAAGAUUUUUAUUUAAAAGGUGAUUUUUUUCAUUAGGGAAAUGGAAAUUUUGUUAUAGUUGUAUUAACAAAUUUUGUUAUAGUUGUAUCAGCUAGCUUAGUAGUAGCUGAUAGGUUGAAUGCAUGUUUAAGUAAUGAGAUGAGAUUACCUAAUAUAAUUCAGUUAAGCUAAUAACUGAAUCUGCUUGUUUAAGUAAUGAUAGGUUGAAUGCAUGUUUAAGUAAUGAGAUGAGAUUACCUAAUAUAGUUAUAUUAACAAAUUUUGUUAUAGUUGUAUCAGCUAGCUUAGUAGUAGCUGAUAGGUUGAAUGCAUGUUUAAGUAAUGAGAUGAGAUUACCUAAUAUAAUUCAGUUAAGCUAAUAACUGAAUCUGCUUGUUCUUGAGCAAAUGAGGUGUUCCACAAUGAUGCAAUAUUAUUAUAUGAAAA